GCGUUGCGCUGCGCUGCGCUGCGCGGUGCCUGCGCUGCGCCUCCCCGGGCGCGUCCCCCUUUCCUCGUCCCCCUUCCUCGUCCCCUCUCCCGGUCCCUUCUCCCGGUUUCCCUCCCGUGGCCACCAUGGCGUGGCCCUGCAUCACCCGCGCCUGCUGCAUCGCCCGCUUCUGGAACCAGCUGGACAAGGCGGACAUCGCCGUGCCCUUGGUCUUCACCAAAUACUCGGAGGCCACCGAGCAGCAGCAGCAUCCUCAGCAUCCCCAGCACCCCCAGCAGCAGCAGCAGCCCCAACCCGUGGUCCCCGCUCCCCCUCAACGCCCCUCGGUCCCCAUCGCCACCCAGCCCGGGGCUGAUGCCUCUGCUGCUGCGGGAGGAGGAGGAGGAGGAGGUGGGGAAGCGGUUCCCGGCUCGGCACGGCCCGGCCCGGCCCCGCACGCUUCUCCCCCCGCCGAUUCGGUGAUGCGGCACGACUACAAACCCUGGAAGGUGCAGCGGCCGGAGCCCAGCUGCAAGCCCAAGAGCGAGUACCAGCCUUCGGAUGCGCCCUUCGAGAAGGAGACGCAGUACCAGAAGGAUUUCCGCGCUUGGCCCAUCCCCAAAAGGGGGGAUCACCCCUGGAUCCCCAAAGCGGGACCCUCUCCGGUCCUCGGUCCGGAGCGAGCAUCCCCGGAGAAGCCGGCUCAGGAGAAGAGGAGGAAGAAGGAGGAAGACCCCGAAGCCGAGGAAGAGCAUCCCAAAGCCGGGGCCGGGAGGGAGAAGGGCCGGCAGAAGGGCGAGGAGCCCGGGGGGCAGCAGGCGGAGGCGGGCAGGGGCAGGGCGGCCGCCGAUGCCCUCAACAGGCAGAUCAAGGAGGAGGUGGUGGCGGCGGGGGUCAGCUCGUCCUACAGAAAUGAAUUCAGACCAUGGAUAGACGUCAAGCCUGUGAAAGCUAUAAAAGCCAAGGCCCAGUACAAGCCGCCGGAGGAGAAAAUGACCCACGAAACCAGUUACAGCGCUCAGUUCAAGGGGGAAACCAGUAAGCCUGCUCCAGCCGAUAACAAAUUCCUGGAGCGCAGAAGGAUACGCACUCUCUACAGCGAACCUUACAAAGAACCUCCAAAGGUGGAGAAGCCUAGCGUAAAGCCUUCCAAACCAAAAAAGACCACAACAAGCCAUAAACCCCUGAAAAAGGCCAAAGACAAGCAGAUUGCAUCGGGCCGGGCUGCCAAGAAAAAGAGCGCCGAGACCUCCAACACAGCAAAGCCAGAGGACAAGGAGAAAAGUAAAGAGAUGAACAAUAAACUGGCUGAGGCAAAAGAGUAAAUGUCACUGCACUUUCCUUUCUUUCUCUUUUUUCUUUUCCUUCUUUCUUUCCUUUUUUUUUAAUUCUUUCCUUUGAUUAAAUAAAGGCCACAAAAUUAAUUAGAGGCUUCUAAUCUGCUUUUUGUUCUGAUUGUAUUAGAAGCUUUUCUGUUUUAUUUCCGAGGAGGAUUAGCGAAUCCUUGUUUCUGAGGUCAGGUUGUUCUGCUUUGCCUGCACAACACGGCUCUGCACAGAGUGAGGGCGAGCGCAGGAGGGAUGUGGGAGUGCACAAGCAGGGUCGUAGGAGAUGGAAGGUUAUGGAUCAACUGUGAGGACAUCCAGCAGCCUGUCCCUUUCUUUGGGCUUGGUCCUUCAGUGCUUUGACAGCGUGGAAGUGCCCGUCGAGGGGCUGUGCUCACAUCCCACGAGGCCCUUUUGGGGGUAGGUAGGUCGUUGUUUGGUCAUCUCCCACUGGUGUCAGCAGGCAAAAGCCCUUGGAGAGGGUCAGAGGUUCUGUUGUGGUGUCGUGCAUUUGCCAUAAAUCUGCUAAAAUUGGUGGUGUGGCUGAGAGGCAUUUCUCCUGGUGAAACCGGUGGGAGUUUUGCUCCAGAAAGCAACAAGGAAGAUCCCUUUGCAAAUAAAGGGCCCAAUCCUCCCCCAGGGUAGCUGGGGGUAGCGGUAGUUGAUCCGGGGCAGCUUCACUCCUCAAUACCACUUGAAGGCCUUGGUUCAAAUUAAGGAUGAGGGAAGGUGCAAAGAGCAGCGAAGACUUCCCACGCGCGUGGCAGGCCAGACUAGGUUAUCAGCAGGUCGUUCUUCCCCGUUGUUUCCCCUAGGAUAUGCAUCUUUUUAAUUGUUCCUGGUUUCUUUUGAAUCUUGGUCUGUUUUCUUCACUUCUGGGGUGCCAGUAGACAGUGCUAGAUUCCAGAAAAAAAGGUUUAGUUUGCAGGUGUGGCCUUCCAAGGAAUAGAAAGAAAUGAGUCACCCAAGUUAGCUAGAGCUGUCGGCCUACGUUGUUUUGACUCUACUAGUUGUUGGAUCUCAUGUUGGCUUGUAAGCAUCCUAAGAGGGCCAUAAACCAGUUGCUGAGAUCCCCAGACUCCCUUCAGGCAAGAUCUCAGGUUUUUAAUCUUACUGUGCCCAGCAAGACCCGUUUGGAAGCUGCAAGCAGAGGGGGACCAUUUGUCAGCAAGUAUGGACUAGCCCAGCACCUUCACGUUGAUGGGACUGGGCAGAUUUCCCCAAGCUGGAGGGCCAGACUGGCACUAAAUACCCCAAAAUUUGGGUCAUUGGGUCAGUGGGAGCUGGGAGAGGUAUGGUCCCAACCCAAAUUUACGUGCCUAACUCCUGGGUUGGCUCCUAAAUACAUCAGAAUUAACCCUGAUCUGACCAAAUGGAGCUGUUAAACUCUGCUGUCGCAGUUGUGCAGAAUAGGUGCAAGUGAAGAUGCAGGGUCCUUCUUUGUUUUUGCAGCUCUGUAUUUCUAUCCUAACACACAGUCCAGCUCGAAACUUCAAGAGAGCAGACAAUUGGGAAGAACGAAGCGAGACAUGGGAAGGAGGGCAGGAAGGUGGUGUAAGAGAAGAGUUCCAGAACUGUGUUGCUGUAAAGAUGUUUGAGUGAGGAAAGUCUCGCUGCUGGGAGAUUUGAGAGAAGUGAAACUACCUAACAGGAAAAGGGAUGGGCCGGGAGGGUGCAGAGUCCCGUUUUUGGAACCUCACCCCAUUAGGAUGGAAUCUCUUGGAAACAGGCGUGAGGGAUGGGCUACAAGGCUGAGAGGCAGUUUCCAAAGAGGAGGGAAGCUCUGUGGUAUACGGAUAGUGACAUUUGCUGGCCUUAGUGAUGAAUAAAUGCCAAGUUCAGUGUAUUGUGUGAUGUGUCCUGUUUGCCUUGCGCUAACAGCCUAAAGCUUUGAGUAUAAGUAAGUGUAGUGUUCUGAAUUCAGUGGUGUAUUUCCAAGCUUAGCUGUGUUAGAACUGUGUGCUAUGAGCUAGUCAGGUUGUGUAUGUGGAAAAUAUAUAUUCAUAUAUAGAAAUAUAUAUAUUUAAACCUCCGAUGUUUAGGAGGAAGCCAGGGAAAUCCUCCAGGAAGUAAAACUGUGGAAAUCUUUGCGAAUGUAAUGCAUUUUUGAUGUGCAUGCUCCAUGGAGACGCUGACCUGUCCAUAGUGACCAUUGCUUUUUCUGAGUGCUCAGAAGCCCCUGCAGCACUGCUCGAGUGCAAAGCUCAGCUCUGUCUCCAGAGCAGCUCGGCGAAAGGUUUGCGCUGAACUCGCGGAGGGAAACGCAGCUCCCAGCUCUUCCCACCCCAUUGCACAGGGGGCAGCUGGCCAGAGGAGCCCCAGCUUCAGAGACUCUGUGUGGUUUCUUGGCAUUUAGGUGCUUCAUCCAUCUUCACACUCUUCAAUAACGUCCCUUCUUAUCUCAGGAUAUAGCAACAGCCGUGAAGAUGACGUGUGGCAGCAGGCAGAAAUGUCAGGAAGGCACGUAGACAGCACGCUGAGCUCACUGCACACAUAGAAAGACCACGCAAAGCCAUGCUCCCGGUUAUUCUUUGCCCUAAGUUUCACAUUCCAAGUGACAACACAGUUGCCACCAUUUCGCCUUGAAUUCAGUGCUAAUUUAGCCCUUGAAUUCAGUGGGAACCAAAUUUUGCCCAAGGGAUGUCAGUAAGAGCCAUGCUCCAACCAACUAAUCCAAGCGUAUCCACAGCCUGGAUCAGCUACUCAACAUCCCGGUCCGCAGGGAUGCUUCUUCUCCAUGAAGAGCAUCCGCCAAGGUGUUAGAAUUAAAUAUGAACAGUGAGUGGUCAGAAUGUGGCCUUAUAUUUCCUUAAAACACAAAGGUUUUGGAGGUUUCUGACUGCAAAGCUAGACAUGAAGGGCUUGCCAGUGGUCAAAGCACCUACCUUUAGUGCAGUCACCUUCCAAGGGCCAUUUAUCUGCCAGAUUUGGACACCUCUCUUUGGGUGGGAUAAAGGAUCCUUGGAAAGUUUCAACUUUUGCAGAAAGAGCCUGGGAAACCAUCAGGGCCCCCAUCUUAGAGAGCCACCGAGUAGGGAUGUGAAUCCUUCCUUUGCUCCAUUGCACUAGGUCCUCAACAUACUUCCAAGCACGUGGUUUAGCAUUGCAUUUAGUGCCGGGAACCGCAGUAGAGUCAGGACUCAGGGUGAAAUCCUGCAUUGCUCAACCUCCCACAGACUUUCUGCCCAUCCGGCCCACUCAGGUUUCUCAGAAAGGAGACAAAAUCUCUGCCGUUUCAAGUUCACUUUGGACUCUGAGCUUGUCGAUCCCACCGGGAAAGAGUGCUCUGCUGUUCUGUGUUUCCAGCUACCACAAUGCUGACUCUGUUUCACCGCUAACUUGUAAUGUUUUUGCUUUCCUUGUAAAAAGAAAAAAAAAAAAAAGAAAAAAAAAAAAGUAAUGUUUUGCUUUCUGCCCUGUGAAAGUUCCUAUGCUGUCAGUUGCUUGCUUUCUCAUUUUCACUGUAUUGUACUGUUUCUCCUUUCUGCAAAAUGGUGCUAAUUGCUUACCGAGCUCCUGUUUUCUGACUGCUUUGCACACCGAUCCACCUGCUUCUUCAUUUGCAACGCGCCUGGUGUAAAAACACGGCUCCCAUGAAUUCCACAAACUCUUGCCUCUUGGAGGCAGAUAGGAAGUGUCUAAUUAAUAUUUUGUGGCCUGGGUUUGGUUGCAUAUCACAAAUUGUCUCUUGUAAUGUGUUAAGCACACCUCCUCGUGGUGCUUUUUCAUUCUUGCUGUUCGUAUGAGAAUGACACAGACACAGACACACACACACAGACACACACACAAAUUAAUGUAUAGCCAAUUGAUUGUGACGUGCUUGUGAUCUUUGCUUGCUCAAAGGGUUUUUUCUUUUUUUUCUUUUUAUUUUUUUUUCAAUGAUAAAUAAAUGCUAAAGACGAAUACCACCUCCUUGAUCUUGUUUUCUCGAUAAGAAGCACAGCUAAGUGAAAUACCCUCCCAACCGUAAUCAGGUUUGGAUGCCCGCCCUCCAUGCCUGCCGUAGGGACACAACUGAGCUGUUGCAGUCUGACUCCCUUUAGGUGCCUGCUGCCCUCAGACUAGCCUGACGCGAGAGCUAAGCGUUUGCAAAGGUGAAGAUGGACAGUGAAGUCAUGUGGACGGAGCAGGACCCCUGAAAAAAACCCUGGUGCUACAGACCAAGAACCAAGUACCUUAGUGCAGGACCAAUGCACAUGAAGUUGAGCACUUUCUUCUGAGCAACGGUUGGAGCAAACGUAUAGUCUGCAUGAAAUGUGUAUCGUCUGGCUGGCAUAUAAUAAAGCUGAUGAUCAGAGUUGAAUGAUAAUUUCUCUUGUCUCCCAAGUACUGAGAAGUUACCAGGAUCUGUGUAAUGCAGUUAGCAUGACUGUGCCUUGAUUUAUUUUCAGUAAAGUC